UAAUACGUGCGUCAAUACUCUUCGGAGUAGUAUUUAUUAGAUGGAAACCAACUGCUUCGGCAUGAUGUGGUGAUUCAUAAUAAGUUUGCGGAUCGCAUGGCUUUGCCGGCGAUGGAUCAUUCAAAUUUCUUCCCUAUCAACUUUCGAUGUUUGGGUAUUGGCCAAACAUGGUUGCAACGGGUAACGGAGGGUUAGGGCUCGACCCCGGAGAAGGAGCCUGAGAAACGGCUACUACAUCCAAGGAAGGCAGCAGGCGCGCAAAUUACCCAAUCCCGACUCGGGGAGGUAGUGACAAUAAAUACUGAUACAGGGCCCUUUCGGGCCUUGUAAUUGGAAUGAGUACAAUUUAAAUCCCUUAACGAGGAACAAUUGGAGGGCAAGUCUGGUGCCAGCAGCCGCGGUGAUUCCAGCUCCAAUAGCGUAUAUUAAAGUUGUUGUGGUUAAAAAGCUCGUAGUUGAACCUUGGGCCUGGCUGGCCGGUCCGCCUCACCGCGUGCACUGGUCCGGCCGGGCCUUUCCCUCUGUGGAACCCCAUACCCUUCACUGGGCGUGGCGGGGAAACAGGACAUUUACUUU
rnacentral:rRNA from 1 species